AUUGAACGCUGGCGGCAGGCCUAACACAUGCAAGUCGAGCGGAGCGGCGGGCGGGUGAGUAAUGCCUAGGAAUCUGCCUGAUCGUUGGGGAUCGCGUCCGGCAACGGGAGCUAAUACAGCAUACGUUCAGAUGCGCCUAGGUCGGAUUAGCGAGUUGGUGUGGUAACGGCCUACCAAGGCGACGAUCCGUAACUGGACUGAGAGGAUGAUCAGUCACACUGGAACUGAGACACGGUCCAGACUCCUACGGGAGGCAGCAGUGGGGAAUAUUGUCCAAUGGGCGAAAGCCUGAUCGAGCAACGCCGCGUGUGUGAAGAAGGUCUUCGGAUUGUAAAACACUUUAAGUUGGGAGGCGGUACCAACUGAAUAAGCACCGGCUAACUUCGUGCCAGCAGCCGCGGUAAUAC
rnacentral:rRNA from 1 species